UUGCAGCCAGUUAAGCCGACUGUGCUCUUUUCCCCAUGGGGGUCCGGUGUGCAAUGGCUGCAAACGGCAGCCUCCUUGGUAGUGUAUGCAGCCUGUUGCCUGUAUGGGUUGCCCUAAGGGACCUUGGAGACAGCC
ensembl:snoRNA SNORA70 Small nucleolar RNA SNORA70